UACAUCUUCAUAUAUUGCAUUAAUUCCUUCUAUAAUAAAUUAUAAUACUUAUAUCCUUAAUUUUUUAUGUUUAAUAUAUUGUAAACCCCAUAUAAUCAAUUUUGUUUACUAUAUAAAAUACUAGGGGGUGUCCGCGCGAACAUGAUUUUUAUUAUUGUUAAGAACAUGAUUUUUUAGAUAAUGUAAUUAUGCUGUCGUUUUUAGUUGUUAAGAUCAUUAUUUGGUGUUUUUUGUGUGUUACGUAGUAAUAGAAGAUAGGUUAAUAUAUUUUGUGUUUGUUUUUUCGAAUAAUGUGUUGUUGUGUGUAUAGUACUUGUUAGUAGUGAAAUGAGCAUCUAAUGUAAAAGAAUAUUGAAUUUCAAUAACUUUGUUGAUUCUAAGAUUAACGGUUUCAGUGUCAAAAUUGUAUUAUAUUUUUUCAUAUUUUUGAAAAUUAUAACUUUUAAGAUGUUUUUUGCCCUCUCCCUAUAUUUUGACCUUGAGUCAUCACCGUCUAUAUAUUUCGUUACCUUUCUGGUGUGCGGUGCUUCUCACCAUCACUGGAAAAAGAAUUACAUCUUUCUCUUGUUCUUCCUUGUCUUUUUCACCUGUGAGAUUAUAUGGUAUUUGUUGUAGAUCGGGUUUAUCAGUUUUCAGUUUUUCGGUUGAUUCUCACGGAAUUGUAGGUUGUUCCAGUCAAUAUUGACUGUUCCUCUUCUUCUUUAGAUUUCAGCUGAUGUUAGGAACUGCAUCUUCUUGGUUGGGUCAGAUUUUAGUCGUUUUUGAUGUUGUAUUCCUCAUCGUUGGCUUACCGUCAAUAGUCUAUGCUCGUCUUGGUUUUCAAGAUCUAGUUUUUGGUGUUCUAACUUCUAUGCUCUCUUUCAUAGCUUGAGGACGGCUUCAUAGUUUUCUGAUUUCGUUUCGUUUCGUCUCCCUUUCCCUCUUUAUUCUCGCAUCUCUUUGCAGCUUUCAUCGCAUCUCUGGUGGCUCUCCCUUUCACCAUGUUUGCCACUCGAGGUUUGGAUAAUGUUUUCGUUCGUGCAUGUUAUAUGGGUUUGGAAGGUGUGCAGAGUUAGUCUCUUGGAGCUUUGGUCCCUUCUAUCCAGAGCUUUGUGGUUUUUCACUUGCAUGGCCGUGUUGUAUAUUCUUGUUUAGUUUGUGAGGUAUUUCUUACCUUUUAGCUAUUGAUUGUGAUUUUGGUGCUUUAGGCAUAUAUGUUCUUGCUUCUUGGUGGCUUUGACCUUUCGAUUAUUAUUCUCCUUCUGACCCGCUUUCUUGGUUAUUUGCGUUGGUGCUCUAGUUUCUUAUUCUUAGUUUGAUUAUCUUAUGAUAUUAAUAGUAAAAUGAAUAUAUAAUUUUUAAAUGAAAUAAUAAAAAUUAGUAAACCUAAUAAAAUUGUGAAAGUUUAUGCUAUUUUUAAUUGUAAAUAAAUUAAAUAUUUAAAAUAUAUUUAUAUUGUUUUAUUUAUAUCUUGAAUUUUAGGGACUAAUAAGUGUGAGAAUGAUUAGAUAGUACAUAAUUAGAAAUUGAUGGAACAAAUUGCAAUAAUUUAAAAGAAAAAGGAUUUAAAAUACAAAAACAAAUAUGAGGACACAUGUCAACAAACCCCCCUUCCACAUGUCAUAAGAAGAGAAAAGCCAACUUUAUAUAUAUAGAUAGAUAGUAUUAAAUUAUAUAUUUGUGUAAAAAUCUAAAUACAUA